UCUCUCUCUCUCUCUCUCUCUCUCUCUCUCUCUCUCUCUCUCUCUCUCUCUCUCUCUCUUUCUCUCUUUCUUUCUUCAUACAGCUACCUUGCAUGCCUCUUUCUAGAAGGACAAUUUGUCAGGUGCCUUUCCAGCAUGCCCCAAGAGGCCAUCUCUUUGCCUGCUAUUCCCUUUGUAGACUGUUUCUUUGCACAUCAAGCAUUGGCAUUGGUGGUUCAUGUUCUUUUGUCUUCUUUUCCUCUGGCUGAGUCAGGACACAUACAGGCCCCAGCUUUUAUAAUGACUUCCCAGUCUCCCAGCAGGAUUACAGAUACCUCAUUAAUAGCAUUGGGAGCAGCACACCACACUAAGUGUCUCACAGACACAGGCUCUCUACUAUGCUGUGGCCUCCUGAAGAAUUCUUAACAUUGUGUCUAUAGGGCAGAUAAGACUCUGGCAUUAAUACGAAUGAAUGAAUGAAUGAAUGAAUGAAUGACAAAAAAGUGGAACUACAGAUUGCAAAGCAUCAAUUAGAACGGGUAAAUUUCCUGAAAAGAAACAGUUUGUAUGAACGGUUUAGAACUUCAGUUUUAUUUGAAUGGUUUCUAGCCAAAUUAUCUGUAAAGACCAUUUUAAUUUAUUUAUCUAGAAUUGUGUUGUUAUUUGGUCUCACUCUAUAAUUCUUUAGGUGAAGCUAUUAGAAAAGACUGACAGGCAUGUGUUGAAUUGUGGUUAUUUAAAAACAAGUCUACAUAUACAAGGUAACAUCAUUAUUGUGUGACAUUUUAAGGAGAAUAUUAUAAAUAGGUCACCAUUGACUAUGCUGUAUCUCCAGCUAAUUUUCUUGCCAGUUAUCUCAAUAAUUGGAUCCUGGGCCAGUCUUUAACAGAAGGAGACUUGACAAUAAAAUGGACAUUUAGGAACUGUCUCUCCAUAAUUCUAUCUGGAAUAAGUCCUUGGGAAAUAGUGAGCCAAUUAGAGGCAGAUGUGCUGGUGAGGUUUUGAAAGACACACCACUGAACAUGCAAAGACUUUUAAAGGCCUGGCUUCAUCAAGAAUUUUGAUGUGACAAUCUCAUUUGGAGAAACCAGUUUGGUUUUUGUUUUUGUUUUUGUUUUUAAUUGCAAGGAGAUUCUAAAGACUUUAGGGCAAAUAUUUAGGCAGAGAAAUGUGGAAUCCACAAAGGGCAACUAUCACUUUGGGGCACAAAGUAAACAUUGGAAACCCACUACUCAUGAGAAUAGUCAGAGCUCCCUUCAAGGCGUGGCCAAGGCAGGCUAGCUGGUGGCUCCAGACAGGCCAUCUAUUGCAUAUUUAAACUAUUUAUAUGACUCAGGACUUGAUCAUCAGCUCCUCUAAAACAUGGGCUGAUCAAUGUCUCUCUCAUGGGCUGGAUUCCCUUGAAGUUGGCAUAUAAAAUCUAGCAGACUCAGGAAUUGACAUCUCUUCAUUCUGUGAAGUUAUUUGUGUUCUGUGAUACACAUCUUCACUCUGAGCUAUGCCUCCACUUCAGUACAUGCAGAGAGAAUAGAGAGUCAUAUAUCUAGAUGGUUGGACAGUUUCAGUGUGUUCACCACAGUAGUCAUUGCAUGGACUCAACUCAGACCUUUCUAGAAGUAUCUAUGACAGGGCAAAUGACCAUUCCUGGCUAGAAUUUGUCUUCCCCCAAGAGAGCUCAUCUGUGUAUGAACCUGGACCCUGUUUCUUCAGUACCAUCUGGUGAUGUUGGAAGAGAGCCCUGACAGACCUUUGUUUAGAAGGAGACAACAUUUUCAGCAUUUUAUUUCCAUUCGAACUGAUUUCUGAGCAGGUGACUCACUCUCUGCCCCUUCUGGACUCUCCAUGGGUAGAUUUAGAGUUGGGAUGGUUAUUUAUCUGAGGGUUGAAGGUAUGAGAAAGAACCUACCAGGUGGAAGUGAACAGGAGAUUAUGUUUUCUCAGAUGCCCUUCUGGGUCCUCUUAUGGUGCAAAUAUGGCAGAACAUACAAACAACCCUUCGGUUUGUAGCUCUGCCAUAUUACUGUUUUUAUAGUAGCAAUAAUAGAGUAGGAACAAUUUCAUUGUAGCUAAGAAAAAAUGAGCCCUUACAUUUGGAACAGAGUUCAUGUGGCAUGUGACCUCUGGUCACUGUCUCAUUCUUCCAGACAGUUCCAAAUUCUGGAGGUCAAGAUGUUACUGUGCCUUUUCCAAUACCAGCCAAAGCAAAGGUACAAGCGAACCCUUUGCCAGGAUUCAUGGCUUCACAGCACAUGGAUAAUGGUCUAGUUCUCUGUCUUAUUCAAAAGCCUUCUGUUCUUCCAAAGGAGAAUGACACUGCCUCUGACUGAAUGGAAAGGUGUAUUUUAGAGAUCUUUCCAGCCCCUUGUUCAGGCCAGGAACACACCAGAGCCUUAUCAGAAGUUGCCAGUCGGGGUCUUGUCUAGAGCUCUGCUCUAAGAACCUCUAAUUUCUCCACAGAAUUGCCUGUCUUAGGAAGAUGCUGAGUAUACAGAGCCAGAAGCAUGAGUCUUGGCUUCUCACUUCCUCCCACAGCAUGCAAGGAGUCUGAGGCAUAUGUCCAAAUGGUCAUCUUCCCAGAACAGUGAAAACAGGAUAUUUUUGGUCUGGUAGAUGAUGACUUCCUUUUCACUGAGACUCUGUCCUCUUCACAUUCUAUCACCCUUCUUGCCAGUUGGUAAAGAGUAAGCCCUGGGUUAAGGGAAAGUAAAUAAGGACCCAGGAGUUUUGGUUACUAAACUGGUUCUCAUGUGGUUCCCACUAGCUGUCAUGCACAGUGAGGUCAUUAAUAUCCCAGGCCAUAGGGAGCACAGGAAUAUUCAGCCCAUUUAGAUGGAUCAUAAGACUGCCAAAAGAUAGGGUUCUAUCAGGGCUGGAUAGAUGGCUCAGCGGUUAAGAGCACUGACUAUUCUUCCAGAGGUUCUGAGUUCAAUUCCCAGCAACAACAUGGUGGCUCACAACCAUCUGUAAUGGAUCUGAUGCCCACUUCUGGUGCUUCUGAGGUCAGCUACAGUGUACUCAUAUAAAUAAAAUAAAUGU
rnacentral:lncRNA from 1 species